AUUGAACGCUGGCGGCAGGCCUAACACAUGCAAGUCGAGCGGGAACUUCGGUUCUAGCGGCGGACGGGUGAGUAAUGCGUAGGAAGCUACCCGACAGAGGGGGAUACCAGUUGGAAACGACUGUUAAUACCGCAUAAUGUCUACGGACCAAAGUGUGGGACCUUCGGGCCACAUGCUGUCGGAUGCGCCUACGUGGGAUUAGCUAGUUGGUGAAGUAAUGGCUCACCAAGGCGACGAUCCCUAGCUGGUUUGAGAGGAUGAUCAGCCACCCUGGAACUGAGACACGGUCCAGACGCCUACGGGAGGCAGCAGUGGGAAAUAUUGGACAAUGGGCGAAAGCCUGAUCCAGCCAUGCCGCGUGUGUGAAGAAGGCCUUCGGGUUGUAAAGCACUUUCAGUAGGGAGGAAGAGUUGAGUGUUAAUAGUACUCAGCUUUGACGUUACCUACAGAAGAAGCACCGGCUAACUCUGUGCCAGCAGCCGCCGUAACAC
rnacentral:rRNA from 1 species